rnacentral:lncRNA from 1 species
AUCACUGCCCCACUCAUGCCGCAGGAUAUAAAGCAGAGUGACAGGGUCACAGGACUGCCAGAGGAAUACAGCUUCUAGAGGCUACCCACAUUCCUGGGCUAAUGGCCCCUUCCUACAUCUUCAAAGCCAGCAGUGGUGGGCUGAGUCUUUCUCCUGGUAUCAUCUCUUCAUUCUCUAUCUCCCUCUCCCAAUUUUAAGGACCUCUGUGAUUAUAUUGGGCACCUGGAUAUUGCAGGAUACGCUCUCUAUUUUAAGGCUAUGCUCCGUAAAGAGAGUGCCUCCUCUAGAAUCACAAGACCUAAGCAUGAAUCUUCCUUUGAAGGAUAAAAUGGAAGGAAAAAAACUGGAUGAGGAAAAGAAGAGUGGGGAAUAGAAAGAGAGAGAGAGAGAAAGAUGGAUAAAUUUUUAAAGUUACUAUAAUAAAAAUCUUCUACAACGAAACUAUAAUUGUUGAUCAGCAAAUGUGAACUAAU